UACGUAGGCAGCAAGCGUUGUUCGGAGUUACUGGGCGUAAAGGGUGUGUAGGCGGCCUGUUAAGUUCCGUGUGAAAUCUCCCGGCUCAACCGGGAGGGUGCGCGGAAAACUGGCGGGCUAGAGUACGGGAUGGGAGAGUAGAAUUCCUGGUGUAGCGGUGAAAUGCGUAGAUAUCAGGAGGAAUACCGGUGGUGUAGACGGCUCUCUGGACCGUAACUGACGCUGAGACACGAAAAGCGUGGGUAGCAAACAGG
rnacentral:rRNA from 1 species